CGUCGAAACAUCGACUCCCGUCCGAUCACCGAAGUUAAGCAAUGUCGUGCCGGGUUCAGUGCCUACAUGGGUGACUGUUUGGGUAUACCAGGUGUUGUAAG